AUGGCGGGCUUCCUCGAUCUGGAGCAGGAAGUGCCUCCCAUGACGAUCGAGGUGACCAGCAGCGACGGCAAGACCAAGUCGAAGGCCACCAACCCUGAGUUUGGCACCUGGUAUGCUCGUGAUCAGCAGGUGUUUUCCUAUCUGCUGACUACGUUACCUCGUGAGAUGGCCAUCCAGGUGGCAACCUGCCACACCGCCGCGGAGCUGUGGAACACCGUGCAAGGGAUGCUCACCUCGCAUACCCGAGCACGGUCCGUCAACGUCAGGAUCGCACUGGCGAAUCUUCAGAUGGGCAACUCCACCAUCACGGAGUAUGUUGGUAAGAUCAGAACUCUUUGUGAUGAGUUGAUGACUUCAGGAAAAAAGGUGGACGAAGAAGAUGCGGUUUCACACAUCCUUGCCGGGCUGGAGGAAGAAUUCGAUCCCGUGGUUUCUUCCAUGUGCUCACGGGUCGAAUCUGUAACCGUCCUGGAGCUGUACUCGCAGCUUCUGAGCUUCGAGACACGCAUGAACCUUCGCGGGGGAGCCUCCCAGUCCUCCGCCAACGCUGCAUCACGCGGGCGCUUCACCAACUUCAACAACAAGCAGAACGGCAACGGCGGCAGCGGUGGUGACCGCGGUCACUCCUUCAACAACAAACAAGCUGGUGGCGGUGGUGACCGCGGCCGGAGCUUCAACAAGCCCAACGGCGGGGGUGGCCGUGGCAAUUCAGGAGGAAACGGUGGCGGCUUCAACAACAACUCCGCUGCCAAACCAACGUGCCAGAUCUGUGGCAAGGUUGGGCAUGUUGCUUGGAAGUGCUGGAAGCGGUACGACUCCGCUUACCAGGGAGGGGAAUAA
rnacentral:rRNA from 1 species